rnacentral:rRNA from 1 species
AGAGUUUGAUCCUGGCUCAGAACGAACGUUGGCGGCGUGGAUUAGGCAUGCAAGUCGAGCGGGAUUCUAAUUUUUCAAUUCUUCGGAAGAGAAGUUUUAGAUGAGAGCGGCGAACGGGUUAGUAAUAAAUGGGUAAUUUGCCCCUUUGUUCGGAAUAGCCACCGGAAACGGUGAUUAAUGCCGGAUGUGUUCGGGAACUGCAUAGUUCCUUAUAUAAAGGCGGGGAUUCUUCGGAACCUGUCGCAAAGAGAUAAGCCCAUUUCCUAUCAGCUAGUUGGUGAGGUAAUGGCUCACCAAGGCUUACGGGUAGUUGGACUGAGAGGAUGAUCAGCAACACUGGGACUGAGACACUGCCCAGACUCCUACGGGAGGCUGCAGUCGAGAAUCAUUGUCAAUGCACGAAAGUGUGAACAUGCGACGCCGCGUGGAGGAAGACGGCCUUUGGGUUGUAAACUCCUGUCAGCAGGGAGUAAGGAUGGUCUAUUUAACACAUAUUCCAUUUGAUAGUACCUGCAGAGGAAGUCACGGUUAACUCUGUGCCAGCAGCCGCGGUAAUACAGAGGUGGCGAACGUUGUUCGGAUUUACUGGGCGUAAAGGGUCCGCAGGCGGUUCGGUGUGUCAGAUGUGAAAGCCCACAGCUUAACUGUGGAAUUGCAUUUGAAACUGCCGAACUAGAGUACUGGAGGGGAGAAGGGAACACUUGGUGUAGCGGUGAAAUGCGUAGAUAUCAAGUGGAACACCGGUGGCGAAGGCGCUUCUCUGGACAGAUACUGACGCUCAUGGACGAAAGUUAGGGUAGCGAAAGGGAUUAGAUACCCCUGUAGUCCUAACCGUAAACGGUGUGCGCUAGGCGUGGGUGGCUUUACCCCCAUCCGUGCCUGAGCUAACGCAUUAAGCGCACCGCCUGGGGAGUACGGUCGCAAGAUUAAAACUCAAAGGAAUUGACGGGGACCCGCACAAGCGGUGGAGCAUGUGGCUUAAUUCGAUGCAACGCGAAGAACCUUACCUGGGCUUGACAUAUAGCUGCAUCCGACCCGAAAGGGACGGAGCCUUCGAGGGUGCUAUACAGGUGCUGCAUGGCUGUCGUCAGCUCGUGCCGUGAGGUGUUGGGUUAAGUCCCGCAACGAGCGCAACCCCUGUGUUUAGUUGCCAGCACGUAAUGGUGGGAACUCUAAACAGACUGCCUGUGAAAACAGGAGGAAGGUGGGGACUC